rnacentral:lncRNA from 10 species
GAUUGGUAACACAGCACAGAAGUGCCAAAACUGCAUGGAUAAGUGAUUUUGAAAACCAUCAAACAGACAUUCCACAAGGUCAACCAAAAUGCAGUGUGCCGGAGAGUAAUGAGUGACUUUAGUCCAAUAGUUAUUCAAGUGCCUGAGAGAAAGUUUUUCUCUUCUGCUAGCCUCUUUCCCUUAUAGGAGAAUAUUAUGUAAUGCAUACAUUUCAUCUUACCUUUAAUUGCCUGGUUUAAUAAUAAAUACUUAACAAUUUUUUUGUAAUUUUUGCCAUACCGGAGGAGAAAUCUGUCUUGGUGUUGGAGCCUCUUGGAAUUCGUGACAAGGAAAAAAGUACACCAAGUAAACUAGUAAAACAAAAGUCCCAUAGAUCAUGUGCUUAUUGAGCAU